CCGGGGCGAGGUUCUGUCCUACACUCGGCUGUGGCUCAGUCAGUCAGUGCAUCACAGAACUUGGUCCUGGG
rnacentral:pre_miRNA from 1 species